rnacentral:rRNA from 1 species
CUUAGGCGUGUGACUGCGUACCUUUUGUAUAAUGGGUCAGCGACUUAUAUUCUGUAGCAAGGUUAACCGAAUAGGGGAGCCGAAGGGAAACCGAGUCUUAACUGGGCGUUAAGUUGCAGGGUAUAGACCCGAAACCCGGUGAUCUAGCCAUGGGCAGGUUGAAGGUUGGGUAACACUAACUGGAGGACCGAACCGACUAAUGUUGAAAAAUUAGCGGAUGACUUGUGGCUGGGGGUGAAAGGCCAAUCAAACCGGGAGAUAGCUGGUUCUCCCCGAAAGCUAUUUAGGUAGCGCCUCGUGAAUUCAUCUCCGGGGGUAGAGCACUGUUUCGGCAAGGGGGUCAUCCCGACUUACCAACCCGAUGCAAACUGCGAAUACCGGAGAAUGUUAUCACGGGAGACACACGGCGGGUGCUAACGUCCGUCGUGAAGAGGGAAACAACCCAGACCGCCAGCUAAGGUCCCAAAGUCAUGGUUAAGUGGGAAACGAUGUGGGAAGGCCCAGACAGCCAGGAUGUUGGCUUAGAAGCAGCCAUCAUUUAAAGAAAGCGUAAUAGCUCACUGGUCGAGUCGGCCUGCGCGGAAGAUGUAACGGGGCUAAACCAUGCACCGAAGCUGCGGCAGCGACGCUGAUGCGUUGUUGGGUAGGGGAGCGUUCUGUAAGCCUGUGAAGGUGUGCUGUGAGGCAUGCUGGAGGUAUCAGAAGUGCGAAUGCUGACAUAAGUAACGAUAAAGCGGGUGAAAAGCCCGCUCGCCGGAAGACCAAGG